GAAUGCUGACAUAAGUAACGAUAAAGCGGGUGAAAAGCCCGCUCGCCGGAAGACCAAGGGUUCCUGUCCAACGUUAAUCGGGGCAGGGUGAGUCGACCCCUAAGGCGAGGCCGAAAGGCGUAGUCGAUGGGAAACAGGUUAAUAUUCCUGUACUUGGUGUUACUGCGAAGGGGGGACGGAGAAGGCUAUGUUGGCCGGGCGACGGUUGUCCCGGUUUAAGCGUGUAGGCUGGUUUUCCAGGCAAAUCCGGAAAAUCAAGGCUGAGGCGUGAUGACG
rnacentral:rRNA from 1 species